rnacentral:rRNA from 1 species
AGCGAACGCUGGCGGCAGGCCUAAUACAUGCAAGUCGAACGGCUCUUCGGAGCAGUGGCGGACGGGUGAGUAACGCGUGGGAAUGUGCCCUUAGGUACGGAACAACACAGGGAAACUUGUGCUAAUACCGUAUGUGCCCUUCGGGGGAAAGAUUUAUCGCCUUUGGAGCAGCCCGCGUUGGAUUAGGUAGUUGGUGAGGUAAAGGCCCACCAAGCCGACGAUCCAUAGCUGGUCUGAGAGGAUGACCAGCCACACUGGGACUGAGACACGGCCCAGACUCCUACGGGAGGCAGCAGUAGGGAAUCUUGCGCAAUGGGCGAAAGCCUGACGCAGCCAUGCCGCGUGUAUGAUGAAGGUCUUAGGAUUGUAAAAUACUUUCACCGGGGAAGAUAAUGACGGUACCCGGAGAAGAAGCCCCGGCUAACUUCGUGCCAGCCGCCGCAGUAA